rnacentral:rRNA from 1 species
CCUACGGGUGGCAGCAGUGGGGAAUAUUGGACAAUGGGGGGAACCCUGAUCCAGCCAUGCCGCGUGUGUGAAGAAGGCCCUCGGGUUGUAAAGCACUUUCAGUGAGGAAGAACGCCUGGUGGUUAAUACCCAUCAGGAAAGACAUCACUCACAGAAGAAGCACCGGCUAACUCCGUGCCAGCAGCCGCGGUAAUACGGAGGGUGCGAGCGUUAAUCGGAAUUACUGGGCGUAAAGCGCGCGUAGGUGGCUUGAUAAGCCGGUUGUGAAAGCCCCGGGCUCAACCUGGGAACGGCAUCCGGAACUGUCAAGCUAGAGUGCAGGAGAGGAAGGUAGAAUUCCCGGUGUAGCGGUGAAAUGCGUAGAGCUCGGGAGGAAUACCAGUGGCGAAGGCGGCCUUCUGGACUGACACUGACACUGAGGUGCGAAAGCGUGGGUAGCAAACAGGAUUAGAUACCCGAGUAGUC